rnacentral:rRNA from 1 species
UACGAAGGGGACUAGCGUUGUUCGGAAUCACUGGGCGUAAAGCGCACGUAGGCGGAUUUGUAAGUCAGGGGUGAAAUCCCGGGGCUCAACCUCGGAACUGCCUUUGAUACUGCGAGUCUUGAGUCCGAUAGAGGUGGGUGGAAUUCCUAGUGUAGAGGUCAAAUUCGUAGAUAUUAGGAAGAACACCAGUGGCGAAGGCGGCCCACUGGAUCGGUACUGACGCUGAGGUGCGAAAGCGUGGGGAGCAAACAGG